CAGCCUUUUGUAAAAGAGAAUCACACCUGGAUUAACACCAUAUUUACAGAAUCAUUUUGUAUGCAAACACAUACAAGUAGAAGCAUAAUUCAUCAAUUGAUUCAGGGAAAACACAGGCACAUGUUCAAGCAAAACUGAUGAAUCAACCACAACAGUAAACAGAAACAACUCGUAAGGUGAAAAGUCCACUUACAUUGUAUGGCUUGAGAGUGUCCUUCAGAAUAUCUAAAAAAAAAUCAAUUUAAAUUAAAAUGAUUGUGGUCAAAAUAAUGCUCAUUAAAAUGCCGAAGCAAUCACGAUGUAGCAGAGAAAGAGUUGGUUGCGGGGGGGUUCCAGUGUAUGCCUGGAACAAGGACUGUUGGACGUGACCAACAAAAAGGCAGGCAUAUCUAGGGCCCAUGCGUGUGCUCAUGGCUAACUUGGUGAAAGUGAGAAGAGUCAAAAGAGAGGUAAUUGAGGGAGAGGACGUUUCACCAGGCGGACAAGUGUUAGUGGAGGGAAAUUGAUUAGGCCACAAUCGAGGAAAAAACAGGAAUAUCUUAAGAACUUCCUGGUGGGUGAUUGUAGAGGGACUGGAUGUCCAUGGUAAAGAUGUGGCAAUGUGUGGCCUAGAAAUUGAAAGUUAUUUAAGAAUUGAAGAUCGUGUGAGGUCUCUUCGUUGCAAGUUUGAAGGGACUAGAAAGGGGUGGGGGGGGGGGGGGGAGGAUAGGAUGGACUGAAAUGACUAGAGAAAUGCGAAUGGAGCUAUAUUGUAGUCUCAACAGAUUAUCAUCCUAUGAAUCGUACCUUUUCAAACCAGAGAAAAUAAAAAUCAUUUUUUCAUCAUUUAAGCUUACUGCUCUUAAUUUUUUGAAAAAUCUAAAGAUCUUGUGAUGCAAAUUUCCAAAGUACUCCAGCAGCUUAGUGCAGAUCCAUUUUAAAGAAAUGGAAGCAAGUGAUUAACAUAAUGGACUAGUAAUCCAAAGAUCCCGAGGCAAGGAUUCAAAUCCAAAAAGGACCAGGUGGGGAACCUAUAUUUAGUUAAUUAAAAUAAAUCUGGAAAUAAAGAAAAUUACAGAAAUAUCAGUAAUGGUGACCUUGAAUUGUGUGACAUCAGAACAACAUUCUGAAAGUAGCAAGUCACGCAAUUGUAUCAAAUUGAUACAAAAUAUAAUAAAGCUACAGACUAUCCAAUACCCAAUUCAGCAGUGGUUUAGAAUUGGACAAAGGUGCAUCCAUCUAGCCAGACUAACCCCUUGCACAGACAUCUUGGGGCAUUCAUAAACUGGGACACGAUCCAAUAUUAUGCCUCACAUAUUUAUAUAUUGCAGCCAGAGUUCUGGACUUCUCCAUUCCCAUGACAUGACAACUUCUCAAGGUGGCAAAUAAAUGGCAAAAUAUCGUGGGAUAGUGUCCAUAUUAUUCCUCAACAGUGACUGGAUUUUUGAAAUCUUGUGGCAAUGUCCACAAGACAGGCCAGUUUAUAACCAUAAAGGUUGACAUCUCUCUCAUUUUACCAUACCAAUCAACCCAAGUCAUCAUGGCCAGCCGUAGGCACAAGUAAAAAUGCAGCAAAUGUAGCAGUUUGGUAUUACAUGCAGCCUAAACAGUGAGGUGGCAUGCAACAGUGAGCUAAGCAAUCCUAUAAUCUAGAUCCGAAAUCUGAUCAAGUCAAAGGGUGUUGAUUUCCAGAGGCAAGGCAAGAACAAUUCUUCUCCACAUCAAACAGCAUUUGACCAUGGUAUCACCAAGGCCUUACAAAACUAAAUCCAAGGGCGAAAUAAGGGGAAAAAAAGUAUUGUCUGGUUAGUCAUAUCCAGCACAAAAUAAUGGAUGUGGUUGUUGGAUACAAUUCACCAAAGUCCAAGGGUAUCUUGCAGGAAUUCCUCAGGGUAGUGUCCUUAACUAAAUCAUCUUCUGUAUCUUCAUCAAUAAUCUUUCCACCAUCAUCUUGAAAAAGAUUUAUUGAUGAUUGAAGUUUUCUGAUUGAUUCACAAGUCUUCAGAUAAUAAACAUUCUGUGUCAAAAUGGAGCAAUACCUGGGCUAGUUUGAUAAGUGACGACUGAUCCACACAAGUGCCAGGCAAUGCUCAUCUCCAAAAGAGUUUGAUUUCCCACCCAUGUCACUCAAUGGCAUUAUCGUUGCUGAAAUGGUAAAAAAUAUCCUGUGCAUCAACAUUGACCAGAAAACUAAAUGGACCAGUCGCAUAAAAUGCUUACAACUGGAGGUCAAAGGCUGAUGUCCAAUUGUAACUGAUUAACCUCGAGUUUAUACUCUAAAAGGCACGUCGGGAUAGCAAUAGAGGACACAAUAUAUACCAACACCAUUCCCAUAGACGAAUACAGCUAGCUGGUUCAAUAACAGUGAAGAAGCUGAAUUCCAUCCAGACAACGAUUAUCCACUCGAUUGACAGCCCAUUCACUAUAUUAAAAUUUACUCUGCCACUGCAACUUUGAAUCUGCCAUUUCCCAUUGCUGUCCCUCCUUUCAUUUCCUCAGUUACCAAUGAGAAUAUUUCCCUUUGUAUUGCUUACCAUGCAGGUUUCUGUGCUGCAACUCCCCAAGGCAUCUUUGCCAGCACCUACCAAACCUACAUCCUCCACCACUUAAGUCUGCAACAAGAUAGGAAUGCCUGCCAUUCACUGCCACUGCAUUCUUUAAUGGUUUUCAUGUCAAAAUAUUGGAAUAUCACCAUGGGAUUUCCUUUACCGUGUGAACUGCAACAGUUCAAGGCAACACCUCACCACUACCUUUCAAUCGGCAAUUAAGGGAUGGUCAUUAACUGUUUGCUUGAUCAUUGACAUGCACAUCCCACAAGGAAAAAAUUCAUUGCCCAAUACUCAGCAAUGGACAAACCAAGCCCUUAGCCCCAUUGUACAUAUGCAGAAUACACUGCUUAUGAAAUAUCUAAAUUAAAAGUCACAGCCAACCAGUUAAAUGGCAUCAUUGAUCUAUGAAUAAAGGAAAUAAUACUGUUGGUAGACACAAAAUGCUGGAGUAACUCAGCGGGACAGCCAGCAUCUCUGGAGAGAAGGAAUGGGUGACGUUUCGGGUUGAGACCCUUCAGAAAUAAUACUGUGGUUUCACUACAUCCAUCAGAUGCUCCAAAUUGUUUUGUAAGGUAAACAUACUGAAUUUAGAGUACUUGUACCAAAAAUAGAACUUGCUUCCAGUGCCAGCAGCCAUCAACACAUCAUCAACAAUUUAAGCUUGUGUUCAACAUUUUUUGUUAAGUUUUACAUUUGUGUUGGAUAUAGGCCAAAAACAGUCAAACAGAAAAAUGCUGACUUUGAUAUACAUUUGCAAAGUAGAAAAACUCUAGUCAAUAAUUGAAUAAAUACUAUUGGAAUCAAUAUACAAUUUAGUCAGAAAAGAUUGAAAUGGGGUUGUGCAAUUAAAACGCCAGUCAAUUAAAUAAAAUGCCAUCACUUACUUACCAAUGGAGUUCUCUCUGGAGCACAACUUGCACUUUUGUAUCAUAUUGGCACUUCCUCUUCCACCUUUGAGUGGGACGCUGUGCUGUACAAAACAACAACUUGCAUUUAUACAAUACGAUAGAACUUUAUUUAUCCCAGGAGGGAAAUUGAUCUGCCACAGUCAUAAAAACACAGAUACACAAAACACAAGUAGGAAUCUGUGGCAUACAAAAUACUCUAAGAUACUUAAGAAAUGGAAUAAUACUGGGGAAAGUCUAAAAAACAGCCAGUGUCUUACAAGGUGAGGAGGCUGUUGAAAAGAAUGAGUUUAUCAGCAAUGAGGCAGAAUCGGGAUCAGUCCAGAAAGCAUGGGGAAAGGAAGAGCUUUAGAAAUGGCAAGAACUGCAGGACUAGAGUAUCAAAGCACACACAAUAUUGGAGGAUCAUGCACCCCAAUGCCUUCCACCAUAGAAGACCAAGGAAAUGUGACAUGUCUCCAUUGACACUUACCAAUUUCUACAGAUGCAUCAUAGAAAGCUUUGAUUUCUGAGAGGCCAUAUCCUCUCUUUCCCUAAUAUAUUUAUAACAUUUCUUCAGAUUCUCCUUAAUCUUAACUGUCAGAGCUAUCUCCUGCCUCCUUUCUGCUCUCCUGAUUUACUUCAGUCUCCUAAACCUCUCCAUGGCUACACUUGAUCCCAGCUACCUUUAGCUGGCCCACAUAUUCUCCUUUUUCCUGACUCGAGCCUCGUCAGUCAGGCUUCCUUAAUCCCACCUGUCUUUCCCAUCACUUUAACAAGAACACGCGUGCUUUGAACUCUCACCAUCUCACCACUGGUCACAGGCCUCCAAUCAGAGAAACACCUAUCAACUACCACGAUAUGGAGGAAGAAGUCGAAGGGUAGUUGUGGAGGGUGGCAUACCAACGGCUCGACUUCCUCAGAAGACUAAGGAUGUUUAGCAUGUCUCCAAAGGCUCAUCAACGGCACCCUGUUGGGAUACAUCGCACCUUAGAAUGACCACAGCUCUGCCCAAGACCACAUAAAAUUACAGAGAAUUGCAGAGGUUGGGAUGUAGUCCAGUCUAUCACACAAACCAGCCUUCUCCAUAUUCAACUCCAUCUACACCACUUUGCCCGUGGACAAUACAAUCAAGAACCAUUUUCACUUUGAUCAUUUUGUCUUCUCUCAUCUACUCUCGCGCAGAAUAUACAAAAGCUUGAAAGCACAUUUAACCAAAUUUGCGAACAACUUAUCCCCCACUGUAUCAGAUUCUCGAAUGGACCUCUCACAUGCUAAUUGCCUGACCCGCUGAGUUACUCCCACAUUUUGCAUCUAACACAGGUGAAACUAGUGUAGAUGGGGUAUCUAGGGCAAGCUGAGCCAAAUAACCUGUUUCCAUGCUGUAUGACUUCAUAGUUUAAUGAAUUCAUUUAUUACCCUGUCAGAUUAAUUCGUUAUUCCAUGCUGUAUAACCAUGACUCUGUCACCAACAGGUUUUCAGCUGCAAGUUAGCCAAGGUAAGAGCAAUCAAUAUAAAAACAAUGAAAAGUGGAAAAAUUGAAGCAUUCAAAUGGACAAUUUUAAAAACAGUUGAAUUUGGAAGGUUGAUUGAAGAAACACAGGGGAGCUAUGGAAAGAGGCUCAACAUAAAAAAGCAGCGUCUAUCAAAUAACAAAGAGGAAAAGCAGUGCAAUGGGAAAGAAUGAUGCAAUUCAGAAACACCUGGGAAUUAGGAAAGUAUAAGGAAUGAAAGAUAGGGGUGGAAUUUAUAUGAAUUUGAGAUCAAAUCCAUAAAAUCAUCAUUAUAAAUAAAUGAAGAUGGGGAAAAUAGGAUUGGGAAAAUGAUGAGUAACAGCAAGCUAGAAUUAUCCAUUGUACAUUGAAUGGAACAGGUUGAGGAUUUAUUAAACGCCUGAAGUUGGAGCUUCAGGUUACCACUUUAAGCAGAAUCCUGACCAAAUGAUCACAAAGUCUGUUUAAAAACACUAUGUAUUUUUUUAUUUCAAUGAUAACUGGAAAAAUGAAUAAAAGAGAUUCAAAAUUCAACUCAC